AUGUCAAUAGGAGGAGACCUGGGGAUCCCAGAUGAAGGCUUCCUGGGAAUCUCGGGGGUAGGCUCCCAAGGGAUUUCAAUUGAAGGAACCAUGGGGAUCUCUGAGGGCUUCCUGGGGAUCUCAGCUGCAGGAACCACAGGGAUCUCAGCUGCAGGAACCACAGGGAUCUCAGCAGGGACCACAGGGAUCUCAGCUGCAGGGAAUCCAGGGAUCUCAGCUGCAGGAACCACAGGGAUCUCAGCUGCAGGAACCCCAGGGAUCUCAGCUGCAGGGACUCCAGGGAUCUUAACUGCAGGGACUCCAGGGAUCUCAGCUGCAGAAACCCCAGGGAUCUCAGCUGCAGGGACUCCAGGGAUCUCAGCUGCAGGAACUCCAGGGAUCUCAGCUGCAGGAUCCUUCCAGGCUCCCUCAGCAGCAUCCCCUCUGAAAGCUGCCGUGAUCUUGGGUUGGAGAGGCUUCCCUGGCAUCCCCUGGCACGCCUCUCCUGAAGGAGCCGCGGCUCCGUUGUCAGGGAUCACUGGUGCACCGUCACGUACACCCAAGCCACCAGCCUGCCCUGCCUUUGAGGGCUUGGUGGCCUUUGUCUUCCCUGGGGACUGUGCCCCUGGCUCCUUCCCCUUCUGCCUCGGGGGAGCACUCCCAGCUGGAUCCCCCUCAUCCACGCCAGGGCCGGGCACUGGCGGCUUGCUCUCCGCCGCCUCCUCACUGCUCAUCCUCCCCAAAGCCGCCUUGGCCACCUUCUCCUUCCCUUUGCUCUUCCGAGAGGACAUUGGGGAGCCCGGAGGUGCCUUCCCGGGUCCCUGUGUGGGCCCCUGAGCCGCAGCCCCCCCAGGCUCCCUGUCCCCCUCAGCAGUGCUGGUCCCUCGCUGCUUGCGGCUCUUCUUCUGCUGCCCCGGCACCUUGGGCCUCACCACGCUGGGGGACCCGGCUGGGGAGCUCUGCUCAGCCCCUGCCCUCUCCCCUCUCGCCUCCUCCUGCACAGCCCCCGGGGAUGGGCUGGGGGGGUCACACGAGGGUCCCCGCAGCUUGGGCUCCGAGUGGGAAGCGCUGGGAUGCCUUUUCCUGGCAGGGGGUGCUGGUGAACUACCCCCCGCCAGAGUCCCUGGCUGUGCCACCACCUCACUGCCGUGGGGUUGUCCCCUCCUGUGUCCCCUCCCUGCUCAGGGGCACUUGGAGUGUUGGGGGUCUCCAUGUCCCGGCUGCCUCGGGCCGCUCCUUUCUCCGACGCUGCCGCUUCACCUGUGCGUCCUGCCCCGGGUUGUCCUGGGCUGUGCCACCAGCCUGGCGGCCAGGGGGCUGCAGGGGGGGCGAGGGGGUGCCUCCUCUGUGCGCUGGCAUGCAGGCGAUGGGCAGCCGGCUGGUCACUCUCGCACAGGAACCUGCCGACCGAGCCCAGCUCCGCUUCGUCCUCGCUGCCCGACAGCAGCUCCGGAGGGGAGAGGUGCCCACCGGCCUGCCAGCGCAGGGGGGUGUCUCCGGGCACCCCACGUGGGGCAGAGCUCCCCGUGCCAGGUGCUGGCUCGCUGCCCUGCCCGGCUGGGAUCAGCCUGUCGGGGCUGGCGUGGCUGUCCCCUUGCUCAAUGUCACUGAGGCACUGCUCCUCGGCCGGUGGAUCCAGCGAGGCCGGGGCGAGGUUGCACUCCUCUGAGGCCAAGAAGAACUCAGCCCAUUCCCUGUCGUUCAGCUGGAUGCUGUACUCGAAGUUAUCCAUGCCUGCAGCGGGAAAGCAAAGUGGGGAGGGGGGGAGAGAUGGGGGCAUGAGGAGGUGGCACUAGUGUUGGCAGACAUAGGUGAGGUGUGUGCCCUUAAUCCUGUC
ensembl:lncRNA